ACAUUCUCAAAAUAACAUUCCUUCUCACUCUCUCCAAACUCUCACUUCAGCCAAGCUUCCGUUGUCAACUCCAUCUCCGUUGCUGCUACUUCGCGUCCUUACUGCCACUCUUUUCAAGUCCAGCUCCAACCCCGGCCCAGGCUUCGCACUCGCAUUCUCUCUCACUGAAGGUUUUAAUCCAAGCUUUCAGUUUUGAAAUUUGGUUCGCCGGAGCCUAACCUGCUCAUUUAUGGUAAGUUUCAUUCCAAUGCUAGUUUCAUUCUUUGCAUUUUAUCUUUCUUAACUUUCCUUCUUGGUGCUUCUUCUUCAUCAAAUCGAUCUAUAAGUUUUAUUUUAUUUUAUUUUUGUUGAUUAAUGAGUGCCAUUGUGCAAGGAAUGUUCUUCUGGAGCUCCAUGUAGAACCUUCCUAAAGCUAAAGCCUUGCCAUAUUAAACCCCUUAUUUCCAUUCCAGACUUGUAACACUGGUUAAUCUUCGCCGCCAAGGACCACCGCUCCCACUACCCCUUCUUUUCACGGCAUUCUCCCUAACAGUGACAAAGACAACAACCCCCAAACUUUCCAGGGAAGCUCAGAAUCCUACUUGUACACUCCUUUUUUACUUCUAGGUUGAAAAGACCUUUGCUCAACAUGUGAUAUAUCCCAAUGACUACAAUUGGCUGCAAUGAUAUGCUUCUCCUCUUGUGCUGUUGUUGUUACUCUUUAGGUAUUGCUUCUUAAUCACAUGAUUGUAAACAGUGGUCUUAACUGUUUUAUGAAUUGAUUUCUGCUAUUCCACAUGUAAAAAUAGUGUCACAACCAUGGCACUUCCAAACAUUUGAUUUAUGCUCCUCAAGAUUUAUGCUCCUCAACUGCUCUUUUCCUUUUAUCUACUUCCAAAUUCAAUGAUGUAUAUCGUUCAGCUUUUCCUGACUUACAUAUAUAUAUACCAAGCACACAUUUCAGUACCACUUUAUUAACUGGUUAAAAAAAGGGAUAAUUAAGGUUAAUUGACCUUCUAUCUCUAUAAAUUAAUUGUGUAGUCGAAAUCUAACUUAGCCAUAUCUCGGCCUGCCACAGUUUUCUUUUGAAAACUGUCAAAUAAAGUGAGUAGAUUGUUAUAAAAAAACAAUUAUUUAUGGUUUUUAAGAAAAAAAUAAAAUAAAACAAACCCCUAGGGUACUUGUAUACAAGAACCUUCCAAGAAGUUUCUUUCCACUUACUUUUUCCAUUUUCCAAACCCACCCACGUGACCUACUCUAUUUAUUUCCUCAUAUCACCUAAUUCUUGACUAUUCUUUCUUCUCAUCUCAUUUUCAAGACUUAUUUUAGGAGCACACUUUUAUCAUUCUUUUCCACGACUAUAUAUAUAUAUUUUUUUAUGUGGUAGACUAUAACUAAUUGUUUAUUAUUUUUACAUGAAAUCAAUUCCUAGAAUUUUUGCAUUUCUACCGUGUGUCUGUUAGUGGCUAUAUGCUCUCUUCAGUCUUCUCUUCUCCUAUUUUUAUCUUCUUAUGUUUUUUUUUGUUUUUUGUUUUUUAUUUUUAUCUCACCCCGACUUUGCUUCAUCUUGUUCUCUUUUUCCCCCAUCUCGUGUUAAGAUCAAAUGUUUUAAGGCAGGGGUUUUGCUUUUAAGGGAAACAAAAUAGCCCAAAAUGCACACCCGGCCAAAAUGAUUCAGAAUGGACCCGAAUUCUAUUCGAUGUGGAAUAAGGGGAUUUCUCAUUUUAGUUUGCAUUCCAGUACAAGAUUUUUCGCUGGUUCCGAACAGAACGGAACAAAAUUCAAAACAUUGAUCAUACUGCUUUUGUUGUAUAUUUUUAUUUUGUUUUUGUUUUUUUGGUUUUGUCGCUUUCAUUUCAUAAUUGACCAAGUCAUUGGAUGUUCUGCAGUCUGCACAUAGACCUUCCCUCCCCAUUCCCAAAUAAAAAACACUUUGAAAGAAAAAAAUCGAAAGCAACCACAAGAAAAGAAGAAAGAUAAAAAAAACAAAAGAAAGGUGGGCUUUACCAAAUACCAACCAAAUUACUAACCACCACCAGUUUCAAUUCAGUAGCUUUCAUUUCAAUGCUUUCUGCUUUCACUGGGCCAGAUAAGUGGAAGUCCCAAAGGGAGAUUAAUUUAUGAAUAGUAACUAUAAUAAUCAUAAUAAUACAAUUACGCGACACCUUUCAUCACCUUCUCUUUCCUAUCAUUCUACAUUAUUGGUAUAGGCACAAAAAAAAGUUCCACUCCAAUUGCAAAACACCUAUAACAAUAUACAUACUAGUUCUAACUGAAAAAUUGGGAUAAAUCUUCAAAUAUCACUAUUAUCAAACUUUUCAUAGUCCAUACAUAAAUAAUAUAAAAAAUCCCACAUCAAACCCCAAGACAUUCCCACCAGACUACUAGCUGGUACAGACCAAAACAUAGGACACAAUAUUAUUUAUGGAUUAAAGAUUGCUAUUUUCAUGUAUGCUUUUGCUACUUCCCCAUAAAUUCAAUCUUUGUCUAAUGUAAUAAUGUAAAUCACAGAAGACAAAAGAAAAAAAAAAAAUUCAAAGGUAGAUAACAA